GACAGAGGAGCCAAGCGUUGUCCGGAUUGACUGGGCGUAAAGCGCACGCAGGCGGCUCUGCGCGUGGGGUGUGAAAGCGGACGGCUUAACUGUCCGAGGCCAUCCCAUACGGCAGAGCUCGAGCCAUGCAGAGGUCCGCGGAAUUGCCGGUGUAGUGGUGAAAUGCGUAGAGAUCGGCAGGAACACCCAGGGGGAAACCAGCGGACUGGGCAUGGGCUGACGCUCAGGUGCGACAGCGUGGGGAGCGAACCGG
rnacentral:rRNA from 1 species